AGAUUGAACGCUGGCGGCAUGCCUAACACAUGCAAGUCGAACGGAGUAGCAAUACUUAGUGGCGGACGGGUGAGUAACGCGUGAGAAUCUACCUUCAGGACGGAGACAACAGUUGGAAACGACUGCUAACCCCCGAUGUACUGAAAAGGCAAAUAUUUAUAGCCUGAAGAAGAGCUCGCGUCCGAUUAGCUAGUUGGAGAGGUAAAAGCUCACCAAGGCGACGAUCGGUAGCUGGUCUGAGAGGACGAUCAGCCACACUGGGACUGAGACACGGCCCAGACUCCUACGGGAGGCAGCAGUGGGGAAUUUUCCGCAAUGGGCGAAAGCCUGACGGAGCAAGACCGCGUGGGGGAAGAAGGCUCUUGGGUUGUAAACCCCUUUUCUCUGGGAAGAACGCAAUGACGGUACCAGAGGAAUCAGCAUCGGCUAACUCCGUGCCAGCAGCCGC
rnacentral:rRNA from 1 species